CCGCCCCGCGCCGCCUCUCUGGUUUGUGCGCCCGUCGCAGGUCGCAGGCCUCUUUGUCAGCUGGAGUUGCGCGGGCUGACGCGCCACUAUGUAGCGGGUUUCGGGCGGGCCACGCGUGCGGGACAGGAACCCAACCCCAGCCGACCUUGAGCUCCAGGAGUUCGUCUCUUACGUCUGCGGAAGUGCAGCUGCCUCAGUUCUUAGCGCAGGUUGACAACUACAGGCACAAGCCAUUGAAGCUGGAAUGUCCUGUUGCUGGUAUUUCAAUUGACUUAAGCCAACUAUCCCUUCAGUUACAAUAGGAAAGUGCCUCUAAUAAGGCCAAAUAUGCGUACUAACUUGUAGCAACCACGUGUCCGUGCAGUGCCACAGGAGCUAGAGCAGUGACAAUGCUGGUGGCAACAGGGCAGUGUAGCAGGUGCUUCAUGUUCACCUUUUCAACCUUUUCAUUUAAUUGUCACAACUCGGAGGUGGAUUCUGUUAGGGACAGGCUGCCCCAGGACCACUCCGCCCCCGCUAACUCAAUGCAGCUGACCCUUACCCUGAAUACUCUGCAGCUGCAUUCCUGAACCGUUAUCUAGGCGCUAUAGCAAGGUCACCAGACUUGCUACACCGAAGCCCUCUGGGUGGCACGGGGGAGGUCAUGAGAAACGUGGAUUACACCCCCUUGUAAAUUCCUAUUUUCACAAGAUAAUAUAUUGUAAGCCGGUCAUGAGAUUAUAUGUGGUAAAGUUAAUUGACUAACAACCCCAGGGUCUCUCUCCCCCAUAUAAACCCCUCAUUUUGUAAGCUCAGGGCUGCCACCUCCGACUGGUGGAGAAGCCUGGCAGGUUAAUAAACUUACUUGGCCUGACCUUGGGUCUCUUGUCUUUUCUCUCGGCUAACCUUACAGAUUCUAUUCUCCCAUUUCACAGGUAAAGAAAUGGAUUAGUGAUAACUCAAGUUUCAUCACCUCAGAUUGGAAGAUGCUGGCCUUGAAGAUCAGAGUGAGGCAGCCCCCAGGAGCUGGGAGAUGCCAAGGAACACAUUCCCCAUCAGAGCCUCCUGAGGAGCAUCAUUUGAUUUGGCUCAGUGAAACUGAUUUCUGACUUCUGGCCUUCAGAACUGAGAAUAAAUUGCUGUUUUAAGCCACCAAGUUAUAAUUUGUUACAGCAGCCUCUAAGAUCACAAAUAUAGCUGGGGCAAGAACCCCACCACCUCAGCCUUCCUCCCUUGUUUUUAUUAGUGCCGUGUGGGUGGUUGGGAGUAGAUCCUAUGUAUAUUCAUUAGUCCUUUUUAUUUUAUUUUAUUUUAUUGAGAGAGUCUCACUCUGUCGCCCAGGCUGGAGUGCAGUGGCGCGAUCUCGGCUCACUGCAAGCUCCGCCUCCUGGGUUCAUGCUGUUCUCCUGCCUCAGCCUCCCGAGAGCUGGGACUACAGGCGCCCGCCACCACGCCCGGCUACUUUUUUGUAUUUUUAGUAGAGACGGGUUUUCACCGUGUUAGCCAGGGUGGUUUCGAUCUCCUGACCUUGUGAUGCACCUGCCUCAGCCUCCCAAAGUGCUGGGAUUACAGGCAUGAGCCACCGCGCCCGGCCCAUUAGUCAUUUUUUAAAGGUAUAACCAUGAAUUUAAAAUGUAUUUAGACUUUAAUCUUGAGAUACAUGAGCAUGUGCAUGUGGCUAAAAUAUGUGGGGUCAGCACAUACCUCCUAAUAAAGCAUUGUGAAAAGUAAGGAAUCAAUUUAUGGUUUAUUGGAAAGUCACUUAUGCACACUUGUAUUUAUACAGCACAAGACACCACAUUUUAAAAAUUCAAUAACUGAAGCAAAUUAAGACAAUAGGAAAAGCAUUCUAAUUAUAAUUUUUGCCCUGCGGGCUGUACAGCUUCAGCCAGCAGUGUCCUGGAGGUAAUACAAACUGCUAAAGUGAGAUAAUGUUUUCAUAAACCUCAGUUUUGGUUUGUGUUUUAAGAAAUGUAAACUUGAAUCUCGGCAAGAGAAGGUUCUCAAAAUUUGGCACAAAGGGAGCAUCUGUCAGCCUAUUAGGUGUUUUUGGUGUAUGAAACAUGAGAUGUAAAAGAGG
rnacentral:lncRNA from 1 species